rnacentral:miRNA from 1 species
CUGUUUUGCUUAUUUAUUUAGUUUGGUGCAAAAGUAGUUGCGGUUUUUGUCAUUAAAAGUAAUGGCAAAAACCGCAACUACUUUUGCACCAACCUAAUAGUUUUAACUCUCU